rnacentral:lncRNA from 1 species
UUGGGUUCUGGGCAGCAGUUCAAUUAGGAACUCUACUUCUCGUGGGGGAGGCAAACUAAGAAGUUCAAUGAGAACGACAUCUGAAAAAUUGCAAACAAUCGGUAUAGAACACACAGCAGGAUCAACACCCAUAUUCUUAUUUAUUCAAUUGUUAGGAAAAAUAAUAACAAUAGAUUUUAUUCCUUUUUCACGGACCGCAAAGUUAUAAUUUUACUUUCACAAUCGCUUAUUGCUUUAUACUUUUCUAACCAGUCCAUUCUUAAUAUCACAUCAAAUCCUGAAAAAUUUAACAAUAUUAUAUUCACAAAUACUUCUAUCUCUGAAACUUUUAUCUUAUAAUCUUUAUAUACACAGUGAGCUGCUAAUAGUCCCCUAGAGGAAGUUUCUACUAUUAAUAUUUUUGCUAAAGGUUCUGGCCUAAAAUCAAGAUUACAAGUAAAUGCACAGGAAAUAAAAGAGUGAGUAGCACUUAUAUUGAUCAAAGUCUUGGCAGAAGUAUCAUGAAUAGAAAGCAUACCCUGAAUAAGAACAGGAGUGGGGAGAGCAGCAGGUUCAUCUAGGUGGUACACACAAGCUUGUGCUACAAGCUUGGUUAUGUCCUUCGGUCGUUGGGGGUAAUCUUUUAUAAGAUGUUGGGUGCUUCAGCACCAAUAAUAGGCGUGAUUGAUAUGUCGACAUGGCAAGUCACCAUGCGAGUGACCACAAUGCUGACAGGGUUGGUUAGGUCAGGCAAGCUGAGCUACAGGUGAAGUCAAGGUAGGGGAAAUGGCAACUCUAAUUCGUUUAUUGAGGUGGCUACUUACUGGAUCUGGCAAUCUCCUUCUAGGCCGUUAGGGUUGUUGUUCUUGGGCAUGUGAAAUGAGGUCUUCAGCCAAUUAGGCAUGUUCUAGCACCUUCGCAUAUGAGCUGGGUCUCAGCAUUGCAACCCAACCAUUGAUAUCAGCACGAAGGCCCUUUAGAAACUUCCUAGCUUUUUUACUUUCAGGGGGUGACCAUUAAAGAGGUGAAUCUAGAUAGUUGGACAAAACGGGCUGCAUACUAGGCAAUCGUUAGGUUUUUUUGGCGAAGAUUCUAAAAUUUCUACUCCUUUUUUUCCCAAACAUAGGCAGGAAAGAAAUUAUCACAGAAUGCACCCAUCAAAACUUCUAAGGUGGUAGGGGUAGGAAGUAUUUCCUUGUUAAGUCGUCACUAGUGUUCUGCUUCACUGUUUAGCAUAAAGGCUGCUAGGAAAACUUUAUGUUCCUCAGUUAGGUCUAAGAGAGAGAAAAGUUUUUCUAUCUAUAGGAUCUAGACUUCGGCUACUAAGGGAUCAGGGCCACCUUCGAAAUGAGGCGGGUUAAGCUUCCUAAACUCCACUAUGUUGUGGGAAAUGGACCUUUCAGUCAUUUGGUAUUCUGGGGCAGGAGGUGGAUAAGGGUUGGCUUGAUUUUUUCCUACGGUUGCAAUCAAUUUCUGGACGGUUAUGAAAAGUUCGGCAAAUUCAGCCUUGGUCGAGUGAUCUAGGGUUUCAGAUCGCUCAGUACGCUCUACGAAUGGUCUUCCUUGCGUCAUUCCUAUAAAAGAAAAGAAGAUACGAGUUAGUGGUCUGAUUUUUACAAAUAGGACUUAUUCUUCCUAGGUACUCUAAGGGUCUUUCGACCUAAGGCCUCAGUGUAAGGGAUUUGAUCCAUGUAAUUCUGCUCUAAUACCAUCUGUGACAUUCCAAAUGCUAAUUAAGGCAUGUGGGUAUCAAAUACAGAAAUAGAAUUAUGAGUGCAUGAUAAAAUUUUAUAUAGCGGAAUAAAUUAAUACAUAUCCUUUACAAAUAUAUAUGAGUUCCAAUUACAUAUAUAUAAUUGAGGCUAAAAGUGGCUACAAAAUACAAAAUCAAAAUAUAAAAGAGGGUAACUUCUUUCAUUACACUAUUGGACUCAUCAGAGUGCGGGAACAAUCAUACACUCAAGUUUUGUGGAUCCACGGGAUCCUCAUAAACUUCAAUAGGUAAGUCAGCUGGCAGUUCCUCAUUUUAUUCCUCGUCGGGGGNNNNNNNNNNNNNNNNNNNNNNNNNNNNNNNNNNNNNNNNNNNNNNNNNNNNNNNNNNNNNNNNNUCGGGGGGGGGGGAGGGGGAGGGCAUGAGAAGAGUGAGUUCUAUAAAGCUCAGUAAAAAAAAUAAUAUUUAAAUAAUAUCGUAAGGUUUUAAAGGUGAAUUAUUCUAACAUAAAUACUUAUCAUUUGGUUAUUUCGAAGACCUAUCUUAUAUUAUGAAAAUAAUUUAUUAAUUAGAGAAAAUAAUAUGUUAAUAUAAACUAACACACAUCAUACCAGAUAAUAGAGAAAAUCAAAUAAAUUAUGAAAUGCUCAGAUUUUUGUGUCAUGCUUCACAAAGUUAUUAUAACUUCCAUCUCUGAAGGCAGAUAUAGAUUUCUGACUACCCAUAUAGAAUGACCAGAUUAGAUACGGAUAACGAUAAUUUACUCAGGCACAUUUCCACUUAGCCAAACCAUGGUACGAUCUAUGAUCUACGACCACGACCGUACAAACUAUAGUGGCCCUAUCAGAUUUCUAUAAUCACGAUAGUACAUUUCCACUUAAUAAUUUUUGUUGUGUGCUCGUUCCGAGCCUGUUGUGCACCCAUGCGCGCGCACAAUUCACAAGUGCCCACACGGAGAGCACCCCUUUCUCGCUGGAUUUUCCCACGAGAUUUCUUCCACUUUGCCGUUUUUUUCUAAAUUCAUUUUUAAUCGUACUAAAAUAAAGUAAAAAUAAAAUUAAUGUAAUUAAAAUAAAAUUAAAUAGAAUUAAUUAAAAAUAAAAAUUUAAAUAAUAUAAAAAUAAUUAAAAUCGGUAUAAUUCACAAAUUACAAUAAUAACUUGUGGAAUAAAUUAAAUGAGUUUAAUGCGGCCUAAAGGCCUAAAAAAAUAGGAUUUCUUUGAAAUCAAUUAAGUACAGUGAUGGGUGGGGUGUUACAGUAGGACUCUACUUCUUUUGUUUUUUCUUUUCUCCCUUUAUCCACAUACUUUUUAUUCCAAUGAGGAUUCUUCUUGAUGAUCGCCUAGAAAAAAGAAGUACAGCUUGAGAAUAACUCUUUCUGUUGUAAAAACAACCUCUCUCACGUGUGAGGGAACCUUGCGGGUGGGGUUGCCCCUCCUACACAUGUGUUUGCCCACACAUGUGAACAAGGACAUUUACAUGAGUGGCAUGUGAGAUCUGUGACUUUCCUUGGCUGGUCUACCUUUAUUUGACCUUCUCUUAGGCCUCCCAAGUGAGCUCAUCAGUUACCCAUUAUUGGACCAAUAAGUUGAAAAAUAGUUAAAACUUCACCCAACUCCUCAAGAUUGGGCUUAGGGGCAUUUAGAUCCUGCUUCCUAACUCUCAAAGAUCAUCUUGAUUAUUUUUGGGCUGCCUUUGGACUUGAGAUGGAUUAGAAAAUAAUAAUGAAUUAGGAAAUGAGUUAGGCUCCAAGUAGGUUUUCACUCUAGUGCUUGGGCCAGGAGUCUCUAAAGAAGGAAAGAAAUCCUUGUGGGAUUGGGAUUCUUCACGAAAAUUCUUCUCGAUACUGUCUGCGGGUACGCGAGGGUUUUCAAUUCUACGAGGUAACUCCUUUUUCAUGUUCAAAUUCAAAUAAUUCCCCCUUCUUUGAAAAAAAUUCAUCCUUGAAUCUUCACCUAUAUCAAAAAAAGAUAGAUUUGAAACAUUAAAAGUAGUAAACACUCAAUCCUCACCUGGUAGGUCAAUCUUGUAAGCAUUGUUGUUGAGUCAUUCCAAGACUUGAAAUGGCCCAUCACCCUUAGGAUCUAAUUUAGAUUUUCGUUAUUUAGGAAAUCUUUUCUUCUGCAUAUAAAUCGAAACCUAGUUCUUGGUUGGAAGACAACCCAUUUUCUCCCCUUGUUAGCAUUAUGGGUAUAAGAUUCAUUUCGCUUCUGGAUGUGUUGUCGUACCUUCUCAUGUAUAGUUUUAAUAAGGUUGGCUCUUUGCUGGCCAUCUGUAUUCUUAAUUCCAACAAAGGUAUAGGCAUUAGAUCAAGCAAAGUUAAUGGAUUACAACCAUAGACAAUUUCAAAAUGUUAAAAUCUUGCAGAGGUAUGAAUGCUACAGUUAUAUACAAACUCAACUGUAGGUAAACAAUCUUCCUAAAUUCUCAUAUUUUGACCAACUACAACCCUUAUAGAGAAUCUAAGGUUCUAUCGACCACCUUAGUUUGGUAAUCUACUUGGGGGUGACAUGUAGUGGAAAAUAGUAUUUCAGUCCCUAGUUUACCUUAUAACACUCGCCAAAAGUGGAUAAGGAACUUGGCAUCCCUAUCACUUAUGAUAGUCUUGGGAAUGUCGUAUAGCCUCACAACAUCCCUAAAGAACAAAUUAGUAAUAUUUGUCGCAUCAUGAGUCUUAUGGCAAGCAAUGAAGUAUGUCAUUACUAAAUCUGUCCAUUACGAGAAAUAUAUUCUCACUACCUCUCCUCAUUCUAGGUAGACCCAAAGCAAACUAUAUGAAAAUAUAUAUUCAAGGUGUUAUAGGUCAAACCUAGAUUUAGUUUUCCUACAUGCAAUACAUUAGCUACAUAUGCACUAACAUCAUUUUCAUGUUAUGCCAAAUAAAAAUACUCGUGUAGAAUAUUAAAGUCUUGUACCCAAAAUAACUCGUGCGUCGCCUAAUAUGUGUUUCACGAACUAGCAAUUCUCUAAGUAAACAAAUAGGCACAACAUAGCUUACUUUCCUUAAGAAGGAAACCAUCAUAUUUAUAAAACUUUUGGAAUGCAUAAUGCUCACAUACAUGAUAAACAAGGAAAAAAUCUUUAUCAUUCACAUAUAUAACUUUGAUAUGUUCAAAUCCUAAGAAUUUAAAACUUAAUGUAGCAAUUAAAGCAUACAUUCGAGACAAUGCAUCAACAACAAUAUUAUCUUUACCAUGUUUAUACUUGAGGACAGAAGAGAAUGACUUGAUGAACUUUACUCACUUACCAUGUCAACGGUUGAGUUUACCUUGGUCCUUUAGAUGCUUUAAGGACUCAUGAUUAAUGUGAAUCACAAAUUUCUUCGAUAGUAGGUAAUAUUGCCAUACCUCUAAUGAUCUUACCAAGGCAUACAACUCCUUAUCAUAGGUUGAGUAAUUUAGUAGCGCACCACUAAGUUUUUGCUAAAAUAGGAUACCGAACGCCCUUCUUACAUUAGAACUGCUCUACUACCCACACCUAAAGCGUAACAUUCAAGCUCAAAAGUUUUAUUAAAUUUAGGUAAAGAAAGAAUAAGUGCAUAAAAUAGUUAUUCUCUUAAUAAAGUAAAAAUAGAUUCCUGUUUUUAGUCCAUACAAACUUUACAUCUUUCUUAAAAAAUUCAUUUAAUGGGGUUGCAAUGGAACUAAAAUCUUUAACAAACCUGCAAUAAAAGCUUGUCAACCAAUGGAAUCUUUUUACCCCAUUGGUUGUUGUUGGAGUAGGUCUGCUUUCACUUUAUCCUCAUCCACCUCAAUGUUUGUGCACUUACCACAAACCCUAAAAAUAUUAAUUUAUCACUGCAAAAAGUCCAUUUCUUAUCAUUAAAAUAUAACUGCUCAUUCCUAAGAACCUUAAGGACAGACUGGAUAAUAUUGGAGGUACUCCUUUAAGGACUUACAAUAUAUUAGGAUAUCAUCAAAGUAAACUACAAUAAAUUUACCAAUGAACGGUUGUAGGACAUAGUUCAUAAGUUUCAUAAAGGUACUAAGGGCAUUUGACAUACCAAAGGGCAUUAUUAAUCAUUCAUAUAGAUCAUACUUCAUCUUAAAUGUGGUCUUCCAUUUGUCCCCCAGUUUCAUCCUAAUUUGACAAUAACUAUCUCUUAAUAUCUAUUUUAGUAAAAAUAAAAGAAACACUAAGUUCAUCCAACAUAUCAUCCAGCCUAGGGAUGGGGUAUCUAUACUUUACUAUUAUUUUAUUGAUGACUCUGCAACCAACACAUAUCCUUCAAGAACCAUCCUUAUUAGGUGUUAGUAGCAUAGGAACAACACAAGGGCUCUAGUUUUCUCUAACAUGUCCCCUUCUUAACAACUUCUUUACUUAUCAUUGAAUUUCCUUCAUUUCCUCAAGGUUACUUCGAUAGACAGAACGAUUUAAAAUUGAUGCUCCAGGGACAAAAGUCAAGCUAGUGCUCUAUCCUUCAGAGUGGUAGAAGAUCAUCUAGGAUUUUCUCUAAAAAGACAUCCUCGAACUCCUAUAAAAAAAAGGAAACAAGACUAGACAAUGAAGAGGUUAAGGUCAGAUAAGUUUAAAUAAGCCUCUUUAUACUGAAGCACAAUUAGACUCUUUUUCUCAUAAAUUACUCGCCUCACCUCUCAUGCAGUCAUAAAAAGACUUUUUUUUCUUUUCUUUCUCUCACUUUCUCUCAUGGGCCUUUAUUCUUUUUUCUUUUAGGUCUCUUUUUCACUCAGUGGGUCAUUCUUUUUUCUUUCAAUCUCUUUCUCUCUCAAUGGGUUAUUCUCAAUUUUUUUCAGCUUCUUUUUCUCUUAAUGGGUCAUUUCUUUUCUUUUCAGCCUCUUUUUUUCUCAGUGAGCCAUUUUUUUUCUUUUCAACCUCUUUUCUUUCUUUUUCUAUUUUUUGUUCUAAAUGUACAUUAAUAGCUCUCUUGACCUUGAUUUGAUCCUUAUGUACCCCUUUUAGUGAUAGAGGUGUAAAAAUAUGAUUUAGACUUUUUUACGUAACGAGUAACAGUUGGUGAAACCGUUAUGUUGUACUUGUCUAUCAAACUACUAAGAUCUCCUAACUAUCAAAUGACUGGCAUACAUAGGUACAACAUCACAACAUACCUCAUUCUUAUAUUUGUUGAUGGAGAAAGAUACCAUGACUUACUUCGUGACUUUGACUUCACCACACUCAUGUCACCAGUGUAAUCAGUAAGGACUAUGGUGCUUAGUGCAUGUUAACUCCAANNNNNNNNNNNNNNNNNNNNNNNNNNNNNNNNNNNNNNNNNNNNNNNNNNNNNNNNNNNNNNNNNNNNNNNNNNNNNNNNNNNNNNNNNNNNNNNUAAAGCAACAUGUAUGGAAUAUGUUCUUCUGUUGUUUAUUGUUUGUGCUCGUAAGUUAUAAAUUUAGAGCUCUUUGAACUACAAGGACAUUAUCCCAUAUUAGAGUUUCUUUAAUUGUUUGAGAUAUAGUAAAGCACCUGCAAAAAAAAGGCUAGUAAAAAAAAAUUCCUCCUUCUUACCUUCACUUGUGUUUACUUCAUAAUCUCUUACACUCAACUUCUUCCCUCAAGUUGAGCGUUUGAAAUCUAAUUCUCUUAAAUCAAGAUCUGCACGUUAGUCUUAAAGACACAACAAUAAGUCUUAAGGGGAUCUUGUUUUUAGAAGCUUAAAAUUAAGCACACAAAUGAAGAAGUUGUGAUGCUUUUAUUAAUAAUAUGUUAAGUAACUUGAAUGCAAUAAGCUACUUAGAUGUGUCUUGGAAUAAAAAUAUAAUUAGAAAAAAUAAACUUAGAACACAAAGAAACAAAUAUGGAUUUAAAGUGUAAGGGAUUUGAUCAAUCUUGAUGGAUAUAACAAGUAUCUUAUUCCUAAUUAUUCCACCCCAAUGAUAACUACGCUCUACGAUUGAUUAAAUUUCUUUAUUUAAAUGUAAAUCCAGACUCAAUGAUGUUGUGCUUGAAAUUAAAAUAUGAAGCAAAUGGUUUUCGCACACUUUUUGGUGAGGUAAUCUUCCUUUGAAAAAUAAAGGUUUUCAUCACACUGAUAGGCAAUUAAUCUCCCUUAGCUUGUAAAUGCAAACAUAAUGAAUGUUGAAUUGUCUUAUGAUGUGCAAUCACUUUUCUUUGAUUUUUUUGGAUUUUUUUAACUAAUUAAACAAAUGAACUUCUAUUUAAAAGAAUAAUUAGAUAAUAUCAAAUGGGAUGCAAUAAAAUGGAUUCAAAAUUAGGUGUUUGAUUGCUAAUUAUGCAACAAUAAUAUGCAAAAAAAUUUAAGAUAGUAGAUUCAAUGGUGCCUAAGCUCUGAUACUAAAUGAUGUGGGACCUCCAGGAUCAAAACACCUUGAUCAUGAACCCACAUCAACAGUAGCAAGCUGAAACUUAAUUUCCUAAUUAAAUCCUCCCUACUUGAACUAUAUUCAACAAUUUGAAUGCAAACCAAGUUGAUUGGGAAUUAAAAUAAGGAACAAAAAAGCCAUUACGACUUACCCGAUAAGUUGAUUCAGAUUUUUUGACUCAACAAGAUGGUUGAAGCAACCUCCCUUGAAGAACACUCACUCUCACACAUUAGUAAAACUUCUUAUAAAGAAUAAAACUUAAAGCCUUAAUUGAAUAAUCUGAAUUGUUGUGAUUAUAGCCUAAGGUCAGGCCUUUAUAUAAGCAUUCACCAGAAAAAUUCUAUAAAAACUCAAAUACUUGACUUUUAUUCAAACUCUAUCUAUAUUCUAAGUUUAUCUAAAUCUUAAGAUUAAAAUAAUAAUUAAAUACAUUAAAAUAAUCAUUUAAAUAAUAAAAUAAUACUUAAAAUAUCUAGAUAGAUAAUCCUCCUCUCUUUGGUCGGUCCUUGUGAAUUAUUCUGUGUGCGUUUUUGCUUCAUUUAGUUGUAAAGUCAUAAGAAACAUGUGAUUAAAAUAAAGAAAAAGCUUUCUCCUUCAACUCGCAUGAGUAAGGCCAUUGGGAUUGCCUUACCGCAGGUUUACAUCCAUUUGGUUUUAUCUUUUCUCCCUUUAUUUGCAUUCUUUUCAAUCUUAUAAGGAUUCUUCCCAUUGAUCGCUUAAAAAGAAGAAGUGCAACUUACGAAAGACUCUUAUUGCCAUAAAAACGACCUCCCUCACGUGAGAGGGAACCCCACGAGUGAAAGUUAUCUCUCCUGCACAUGUGUUUGCCUGCACAUGUGAACAAGAACAUUCACAUGUGUGCCAUGUGACAUCCGCGACUUUUCAUGUUCGGUCGACCUUGAUCUCGCUUUCUAUUGGGCCUCCUAACUGAGCUCUUCACUUACCCAUUCUUGGACCAAUAUGUUGAAAGCUAGUUGAAACUUAUUCUAACUUUUAACUUAUUAGCUUGACUCCUCGUGAUUGGGCCUAAGGGCAUUUAGAUCCUAUUUCUAACUCUUAAAUAUCAUCUUGAUUAUUUUUAGGCAGUCUUUAGGCUUGAGAAGGAUUAGGAAACAAGGAGGAAUUAGGAAAUGAGCUAGGCUUCAAGUUGGUUUCCUCUUUGGUGCUUGGGCUGUGGGUUUCUAAAUAAAAAAAUAAAUCCUUGCGGUAUUGGGAUUCUCCACAAGUAUUCUCCCAAGUACUGUCCGCAAGCACGCGAGGGUCUUCGAUUCCGCAAGCUAACUCCUUUGUCAUGUCUAGAUUCAUAUUAGUCUUUUGUCCUGAUAAUUAGGGACUAGCAAUGGCCUUUUAUUAUUUUAAAAUAUCUAGGAGCUCUCUCCUUAUUCUUUAUUUAGUUAUUCGACCACUUGAACCUUUUCUAAGACUCCUCGAUAUGUCACUAGAACGAACACAAUUACCUAACGAUAAAGGUCAGGCCUCAGUCCUCUCUCAAACCUUCGGGCCUUCUUAGCUCAUUCAUCAUCAUGUCCAGGGAAAACCACCUCAACUUAAUGAAUUUUUCUAAUUACUCUGCCACUGUGAACUUUGCUUGGUGCAACUCUAAGAACUCAUUUCUUUUUCUACUGUCUAAUGAAAUUAGGAAAAUACUCGGCGUUGAAUGCCUCUAAGAAAAUUUCCCAGGUAAUGGGAGGAAUCAUAGCUCUUUUCUUCAAGUUCCACCAAUGUUCUACUGCUCCUUUUAACAUGAAAAUAACUAAUUGAACCUUCUAUUUGGUAGUGACUUCUAUUACUUCUUUUUAAAAUAGUUUUUCUAUCUCUUUAAUCCACACCUCUACUAUAAGUAGAUCAAAAUGGCUUGUAAACACUGGGGGACCCAACUGUUUAAACCUCUCAUUGUUGCUGGAGUCAACACCUGCAUGAACCAUAUUUUGAUGUUGAUAGUAGGGUGGUUCCGGGCAUAAUUCUCACUCUUGAACAAUUGUCACUAGGCUCUCCACGACUUGGCACAGCUUGUUAAAAUAUUCCUAAUUGAGACCUUUUUGGGUUGGUUUAACCUUGUGGAGCAGGGGGGUGACCCUUAAUGAGUUAGAAGUGGUGUUUAUUGAACUGGGGGCCAGUCUUGAGGAGCUAGGGUUGGCCCUCUCUAAGGUCGACCUCUGCCUCGUUCACAUUUCUAUUAUUCUUGCAAUUCAAAGGUAUUUUCACCUAAGAUCAUAAGAGAAAUUCAAUUUCCUUCUAAUCUAUAUAAAUUCUCAAGUCUAUUGUACAAAUGAUGGUCCUAGGAAAGUUGUUGUGAUACCCACUAUAACAACCUGUGAUUUUGAUGAAAUCACAAGUAUCUAAACAUCUUGAACAUUUAAAAUGCAAUGUCAAAUUUGUAUGAAAAUGCAAAAUACAAAUUUAUCCAAACUCUCAUCUUUCUAAUUUUAGUUAGAUCUAAAUAAUUAAAAUAGUCACGUAACAUAUCUCUAAUCUCAAAAAACUAAGUAAUACUUCAGAGUCUGAAAACUUAUAUAUCAAUACUAAUCAAAGAUAACAUAAAUCUCAUAUACUUAGAGGGUCUAGUCACUAUCGUAACUAGUCUUGUAUUUGCUCUUAGGUUUCAUGUUCUUAAAAAGAAUGAAAAAGAUUGAGCUGCACAUGCUUAGUACGAACCAUUUAGUACCCUAACCUGCAUAAAUGUAAAUAGUACAAGUGAACCCUCAGUAUACUGUAUCUAAGUGAGACCGGAUUCAUUUCUAAAUGAGUGUUACUAAUCUCGAAUAUCUUAUUUAUUCGAAUUAUUCAUCACUUUAAAACAUUUUUCUAGACAUUGUUAAGUAUUUUACUUUUCUAUUUCCCUGUUAAUAGUAAAAUCAAGUAAUCACUCAACAUUUUACCCAUAAUGCAAUAUAAUUCACUUUUUCUUUUACUUUAAUAUCACUUAUCAACUAUAUAAUGACAAUUUAUAACUAUAACCGAUAGUGCGUCAAAACAUCUUCAUUGUCCAUUUUUUAGUACUAAAUUGAAUUUUUUUAUAUUUGAUUUAAGCUAUUUUAUUCAUUUUGAUACAGGAUAGAAGAUGGAGCCCUACGUCAGGAAAACAACAUAAACAGAGCAGAUUUUGUGAAGUAGUUGUCAAUCAUUGUAUAAGUUUUCGUCAAGGCUUAAACCCUGCAGCAAAGGCAGAUUUUGGCUCACACACAAUCAAGCCUCGGGCAAGGUUAAUGUAUCAGAAAGGGCUAUAAGUCUCAGUACACCAGAUUAAGCCUCGACCAAGCCUUAAACAUGUGCAGCAACAUAUUUGACAAAAAAAAGAUGCACUGUCGAAUUAAAAGAAGAAAUUUAGUUGCGCCCGAAAAAGGAAANNNNNNNNNNNNNNNNNNNNNNNNNNNNNNNNNNNNNNNNNNNNNNNNNNNNNNNNNNNNNNNNNNNNNNNNNNNNNNNNNNNNNNNNUACUAAGCCCACCAUGAGUGGCUGAUAACAUUCGUUGCUAGUUACAGAUUUAUUGAAAAUUCCAAUUUGAAUUAUGAGAUCUAAUUGCUUUAUUUAUGAUUUCAUUAAAGCUUCAGUAUUUGCUUAUUUCUAUGUGUGUAUUAUUAUUGUUGCUUGUUAACUGUUUGACUAUGGCUGGUUAGAUGCGUGACAAGGCAAUAUACUACCAUUUGAAAAUCCUGAAUCCGUAAUUAUUUGGGUUAUUUCGAUACUCAAUAGUAAAUUAGUCUUUAAGCUAAGGGAAUAGGUGAUCUGAUUGAACAGGUCACGUGGUUGAAUCUGACAACUAGAUACAGGUUCUUUUAGUUCUCAAGGCUGUUGAUAGAUUAAAUUCUAUAAACAUUUCCAAGACUAUUUAUCAAUAAAAAUAAACUAACAAAUAUUUUUUGGUUAAUUAAGGAUUAAGGAAGAAUCGGUUGUCGGAACAUUUUCGAUAACCAAAACUAGUUUGUAGAGCUUUAGUAAGACCGAUCAUUAUAUCGAUGGUCAAUUUCACUAUUGGAAUCUAGCUACUUCUUUAACUGGGAUUAUUCUUAUAUCUGUUAUUUCUUUGAUUGUCUUCUGUUCCAUUGUGUAAAUUUUAGCUUAGUAGUUUGUUUUUUUUCAUCGUUUAAACUUGAAGAAAAACCCCCUGCUCUUGUUUUCGUUGGUCAAAGAAGAAUACAAUAUCCGAAUUUGUUUUCAACAGAUAUUGCAAUGCCACAAGAGUAUGAAAAUAUAAUGACCUUAGUCUCUAAUAAAUAAGAGCAGAACUUUUUCAAGACAAACGCAACAGCAAGUAGUUAUUUUUCAGUGGUCGAGUAGUUGACUUGAACACUAUCUAGAUAUAAUACCCUGAAACCUCUAUAUUCGGAUAUUGUAUUUUUAAAUUUUAUAUUUUUGUGAAGAGGAAGGAGGGGAAGGUGCUUUAAAUAGCCUUCCCAAAUGAAUGUGAUCUGUUGGAUCACAUGUAAUUAAUGGUAGCCAUUGAUCGGCCAACUGGCUAAGUGGCCACCCCCACAUGGCGUGCAUGUGUGCCAUGUCGUAACCAUGCAUGCCCAAUAGUGGGCUAACAAGACAACCCAUCCGUCGAGGGUCACGCAAAGUGACCUUGCAAGUGGUUGCACACUUCAGGCGGACAACGCGUGCACCCAAGCUGACGCGACAGUCCCUGCAAACGUACAGGCAUGCGCGAACAAUCACAUGCGACGUCCCUGCGUGCGCAGCAAACACGUGGGCAUAGUCACAGCCUUUCACGCAGGUUCACAGGUCCUUUCCCUCCAUUUUUCUGUUUUUGUUUUAUCUUUUAUUCUUUUUAAAAAAUUUUAAAUUCUUUUUAGCUAAAACAAAAAUUAAAAAUUAAAAAUAAAUUCAUGCACAAUAUAAUUUAAAUGCAUAUUAAAAUUAAAACACUAUAAUUUAUUAAAAUAUAAAAUUUAAAAAUACAAUAUCCGAAUAUAGAAGUUUCGGGGUAUUAUAUCUAGAUAGUGUUCAAGUCAACUACUCGACCACUAAAAAAUAACUACUUGCUGUUGCGUUUAUCUUGAAAAAGUUCUGCUCUUAUUUAUUAGAGACUAAGGUCAUUAUAUUUUCAUAUUCCUGUGGCAUUGCAAUAUCUGUUGAAAAAGAAAAAAGCCAAAUCAAGACUAAUUCGAUGGAUACUCUAACUGCAGGAAUUCGAUUUAGAAAUAAGAGACAAAAGGGGUAUGGAGAAUUUUAUUGCUGAUCACCUUAGUCAUCUGCUGUUAAAGGAAGAGCUUAUGCCAUUGAAAGAUGAAUUUCCAAAUGAACACCUUUUCUGGGUAACGCUGUGGACACUCUGGUACGCUGACAUAGUCAAUUAUUUGGUCACCAACACAUUGCCAGCUAAAUUGUCCAGAGCACAAAAAGAUAGAAUCAAGAAGAAUAAUAGUAAUAUGUGUGAGAUGACCGUGCAAAUCAGAUCAUUCGCUGAUGCAUCCCUAAAGUAGAAGUUCCUUCCAUCCUGAACUUUUGUCAUUCUCAUGCUUGCGGGGACACUUCAGUCCUAAGCGCAUGGUGCGCAAAGUGCUGGAAUGCUGGUUAUUUUGGCCUUCCCUGUUCCGUGACGCAUAUAUCUAUAGUAAAAUAUGUGAAAUUGCCAACAUACAUGAAAUUAGGCCGCAAGGAUUAGAUGUCAUUAACACCCAUCCUAGUCUACGACAUCUUUGAUGUGUGGGGGAUAGAUUUUAUGGGACCCUUUCCAUCCUCCUUCGAAAACUCAUAUAUUUUACUUGCAGUGGAUUAUGUCUCCAAGUGGGUGAAAGUUAAGGCCACCAGAACCGACGACGCCCAAAACUGUUGUCAACUUCAUCAAAACCCAUAUCUUUGUUAGGUUUGGAGUGCCUCAUGCGAUGAUAAGUGAUAGGGGAAUACAUUUUUGUAAUCGAAUUGUGGCUUUAAGAAGUACCAUGUCAGACACCGUACCUCCACCACUUACCAUCCGCAGAUCAGUGACCAAGCAGAAGUUUCAAACAAGGAGGUGAAGUCCAUACUAGAGAAAAAAUUCAACCCCAACAAAAAAAGACUGGAGCUUAUGGCUAGAGGAUGCUCUAUGGGCCUACAUUACAGCCUACAAAACUCCUAUCGAAAUGUUAUCCUACUGCCUGGUUUUCGGUAAGGCCUACCACCUUCCUGUGGAGCUAGAACACAGGGACUAUUAGGCAAAUAAGAGUUACAACAUGAAGAUAGAAGAGGCCAAGCAACAUAAGAAGCUGCAACUACAGGAAUUGGAAAAGAUAAGAAAUGAAGCUUACGAAAAUUCACGAAUAAAUAAAAAGAAGAUAAAGUCCCUCCAUGAUCGAAUAGUCACCAAAAAGUAGUUUUUUUGUAGGACAGGAGGUCCUACUUUAUGAUUCCCAUCUGAAGUUGUUUCCCAGAAAAUUACGUUCUAAGUGGUUAGCCCCUUUAUUGUCACAAAAAAUUCCACGCCGGAGCAGUUGAGAUCAAGAGUCUAGACACGGAUAAAACAUUCAAAGUAAAUGGACACCGACUCAAGCCAUCUAUGAAAGAUUUGUAGGACAACAAGUUGAAGAGCUCAUCCUAGAAACCCCUACAGAUAACAACCGAUAGCGCAGAGGCAAUCUCUAGCCUAGGACAGUACACAAGGGUGUUUAACAAGAGGCAACCCAUUUUUUCUCGUUUUUUUUCUAUUUUCCUUAAAACUAUUUUGAUGUUUUUAAAAUAUAUGUGUUAUUAAGGUUUUAACCUCAAUCACUCUAACUGGAAUUUUCUUCUUUAUUUACAGGCUGUUGAAGAAACAAUGCAAGACCACUGGGUCACCAGGCUGUAAAGACUGCAUUACCCUUGCCUAAGGCUAAGAGCGAUAACCCAAGCCUUGCCCAAGACGAAGAGUGAUAACCCAAGCUUUGCCCAAGGCCUAGAGCGACAAGUUAAGCCUUGCCAAAGGGUUAGCGCGUGCCUUGUCUAAGGGUUAAUAACUUCACAAGCCUUUUCAUGGAUCGGAUGCAAGCCACAAGGCUUAAACCAUGGUAACAUAAGAAGUCUAGUUUAGAAAUAUUUAGAUAAUUCAUGCCCAAGGGUUACGUUGUAGAUGUGAUUGAAGUUUUAUACUGUGUAACCUUUGCCCAAGGCUAAAGUGAAAAAAAGAAAAAAAAAAUUCCCCUUGUGAACUAUCCACUAAGCCUUUGUCUAGGCUCAUGACACCUGACGUCCAUUUUAAAUUUAAAAUCCCUACCCUAAAACACCACUCCCCACUUUCACAAUCAAACUCUCACUCUUUUCCCUAAUCACAACCUCUCACCUCAAACCACAAGCUCCACCUAAGGAACACGCUUCACUGCAUGAUGCAAGCAACCCCUCGACCCCAUAGCAGAUGAACCUCUAGUGUCUCCCACCCCCUAGCCAACAAUACUAGGGGAUUAUUCUAUCCUUUCUUUUUCUCUUAUUCUGUUUUUUUUUUCAUUUCUUAUUUUCUGGUUUUCAUGCUACCUUGCUUGUGUCAAAUUGGGGACAAUGUGCCUUUUAAGGGUCGAAGAGGCACAUGCUGCACUUUUACGUUUCCAUUUUGGUCACAUUUUUUCUUUUAAGUACAUGCUGAUAUGCAUUCGUAGCCCUACCCAAGUCACACAUAACUACAUUUUCAACUAUUUUUAACCCCAUCUUUUCACUACUGCCUUGGUAUUUCCAAAAUAAUUUAACUGGUGUUUCAAGAACUAAAUUACAUUUUCAGUAACCUUCUAAGAUUUCUGACUUAUUUUUCAUCUUUUCACACCAUGAAGAACUAUUUCUAUUAAUAUGUCUUAACAUAACUUGUUUAGGAAUUGCAUUCAAUUGAUUUUCUCUUGUCCUGAGGUGAACACUAGUGCCUAGGGAACUUACACAACUAUCUGUCUGAAUUUGCAUGUUCAAAUUCACCAAAAAAAAGGAGAGAAAGAGCAUGAACCAUAAACUACUCGUCUAGUUGAAUGAAUUUAUAACCAAUUGUGUAACCCGGUGCAUUCAUCAUAAAUGUUUGUCAUCACGUCAAAAGGUUGGUAACAUUUAAGAUAGCCAUAAAAGUGUUAGUCAAUCGAUUAUGAAUAGUACUAGUAGCCUCUGAAAAUUGUGACCAGCUGAGUAACCGGGUGCAUUCAUCAUAAAUCUUUGCCCUCACAUAAAAAAGUUAAUGAAAUUUUAAGUCAACAAAAGAGUGCUCAAGAAGUAAUUAUUUUAAUUAUUUGUUCUCACAAUAACCCAUUUGCAUUAAGACUUUAUGUUUAGACAAGUUUAGUGUGGAUUUUACCCUAGUUAUUGGCUAUUCUUUUCAAGAUAAAAAUGUGUUCAAAAACCUACAAAACCUUUCCAUUUUAUGCUUGGAUAUUAUUCAAAGUAGUUAUUCUUUGGUGUGAUUCCAAGAAACUCAAGCCUAAAACUGCUAGUAAGGACUGUUUUUGCAAAUUUAAGAUUGAAAUAUAACAUGCAAGUUGUGGAAAAAUUAUUAAGGGCAGUAGGGUUGAGGGUGCAAGGUUGAGACUUGUUGAGUUAUAUUGUGAAGUGCUUGGAGGCAAGCACAAGAUAAAUGUGGAGGAGUUUAAUAGUGUGUAAAAACAUCAUCUUCAUUGCCCAUUUUUAAGUACUUAAUUGAAUUGUUUGCUAUCUAAAUUAAACUAUUUUAUUCAUUUUGAUAUAAGACAGAAGAUGGAGCCUAAGUCAAAAAAAUAACAAAAAAAGAGCAGAUUUCAUAAAGCAACUGUCAGUCAUGGUAUAAGCCUCAAUCAAGACUUAAACCCUACAGCAACAACAGACUUUGGCUCGCACACAAUCAAGCCUUGGGGAAAGCUAAUGCAUUAGAAAGGGCUAUAGGUUUUAGGUACACCUGACUAAGCCUCGGUCAAGGCUUAGACACGUGCAAUAGUAUAUUUUAAAAAAAGGCACAUUACCGAAGUAAAAGAAGAAAUCCCAUUGCAACCAUAAGAGGAAAUCAAGAAUCAAGGAAGAGAUUAUUUUGGAAAGCAAGAAGGAAGUCGAAAUCAUUAGGAAAGAUCUCUAUCUUUGCAAAAAGAAAACCCUAAUCCUCCUGGGGUUUAAAAGGAGAAGAAAACCAGAGAAGAAGGCAUCAUGGAUGCUACACACUGCAACACUUGUAGCUUUCUAAAAUUUUCUUCCUUUUUUCUCUUUUCAAUAGUCAUAAAACUCUAUUAUGUACUAAGCCCAUCAUGAGUUGCUGGUAACUUUCUUUUCCAGUUACAGAUUUAGUGAAAAUUCUAGUUUGAAUUGUGAGAUAUAAUGGCUUUAUUUCUUGUUUCAUUAAAGCUUCGAUAUUCGUUUAUUUCUCUAUGCGUAUUAUUGUUGCUCCUUGUUAACCAUUUGAAUAGGGCCUGUUAGCACGCGACAAGCAACAUACUACCAUCCAAAUACUAAUCCGUAAUUAUUUGGGUUGUUUCGAUACUCAGUGGUAAAUUAGCCUCUGAGCUAAGGAUAUAAGUGAUCUAGUUGAGUGGGUCACACGGUUGAAUUCGACAACUAUAACUAAGUUCUUCAAGUUUUCAAGGUUAUUGAUAAAUUAAAUUCUAGGAACAUUUCCAGAGCUAUUUAUCAACAAAAAUCAAUUAAUGAACAUUUUUUGGUUGAUUUAGGAUUAAGAAAGAAUCGGUUGUCAGAACAUUUCUGAUAACCAGAACUAGUUUGUCGAGCUUUAGUAAGACCAAUCAUUGCAUUAAUGAUUAAUUUCACUACUGGAAUCUAGCUACUCCUUUAAUUGGGAUCAUUCUUAUAUCUACUUAUUUCUUUGAUUGUCUUUUGUUUCUUUGUUUAAAUUUUAGCCUAGUAGUUUGUUUCUUUUCAUCGUUUGAACUUAAAGAAAAACCCCAUGCUCUUAUUUUUCGUUGGUCAAAGAAGAAAAGUUGUUCUUGAUUCCCUAAGGAUUCGACCCUAUUUACCACUAUUAUAAUUCUAUUUUGUUGGUUGAAUAUGACUUUUAUUUUUGGUGGAUUUGAUACCCAUAAACAAUACAUCUUAUUUUUUUCAUAAUUGGACACCUAUAUCUUAUUGUACAAUGUCAUUUAAAUCAUUAUUAAAGAGGGCAGUAAAGAUCACCUCUAUCAACGUGAACACAAUCAUAGAAAUAGUGAAAACUAAAAUAUGCUUCCACUAUACGGGACUCACUAAUCGACCGACAUCAGCAACAUACACACCCACCCCUCAACGGACAUAGUAUAGUAUAACAUAUUAGAUAUUUUUUGCAUGGGUUCACUAAUCAACCAAAAUAAGCCAUACACACAUCUAUCCAUCUGUAACACCCCACUCACCACUGUGUUUAAUUUAUAUUUGAAAAAUCCUAUUUAUUUGGGUCUUAUGGUCACACUAAACUCAUUUAUUUUAUUCCGCAGCUUAUUAUCGUGAUUCGUAAAUUAUGUUUAUUUUUAUUUUGUUUAAUUUUAUUUAAUUUUAUUUUGAUUUAAUUGUUUAAUCGUCAUUUUUUUUUAAAUAAACGAUUUUCAGAAAAAAUAAAAAAUAGGGAGAAAAAUCUUGCGAGAUUCUGCCCACGUGGGCGCCCGUGUGGUGUGUGCGCUCGUGCACACUUCCCAUCGCGCGGCGUAGAGGACAGGCCUGCGCACGCGUCUUGUCACGCACAGGCAGGACCUGUCCACGUGCGUCACAUUGCGUGCAAACAGGUAGGCGCCACACACUGUGUGCGGCCAUUCGUGCAAUAAGCCUGCAUGAAUUGGCUUGCGCGCCUUGGGCCUGUGCUCGGCUCCUCACCACGCCUUGGCCCUGUGCACAUAGGCCAGUUCCUGCGGCAGGGUAGACUGGCGCCUAAAGGCUAGGCCUACAAUGAGCACUAGGCAAAUGAGGCCAUUGCCACCUCGGACAGUGUGUCGUCGCCCAUCUUGGGUGGCAUGCUGCUGCUUAAGGUGUCGCCACCAGUGGAGGAGGUUUUUUUCCUCCGUUUUUCAUACUAAAUCUUUUUACUCUCUCUCCACCAGAUUUUACCACUUGGCACAAAUCCAAUGGCCUCCAUUUUCUAUAAAUAUGGGUCUUUCCUCCCAUUUUCUCUUCACUUUCAUUCUUCCACCUUUCAAGAGUUAGAGAGAGAGAAUGAGAGUGAUUUAGAGAGAGAAUGAGAGGAGAAAAAGAAGAAUGGUGUAGAAAAAAUUAUCAAGGUUUCGAUAAGAAAUUUAGUAUUUCUUUAGACAUCUUAAUGGAUAUUUUUAGACAAAAAAAAGGAUUAAAUUGAUAAUUCUAUGACUUUACGUAUUUUGCAUGCUCUAUGUUAGUAGACUUAAUAAGUUGAAUUGUUCUUGAUUUCGAGCAUACUAUAUGAGUUAUAGAUACUUGAUGAUUUGCAUAUAAUUAAAAUAAUAUAAAACAGGUAAGGCUAUAUAGAAAAAAAAAAAAAAAAAAAAAAGUAGAAUAAAGUAUGAAUGGUCCGAAGUAUGUACCUGUAUUGACAUGCAUAACGCAUUAAGUAUCUCAUUAGACUUUUUAUCUCUAAGGAGUAUCUAUUCCUCUAUCCCCAUUCGGGAUAUUUUUUUUUCCUCCCCCAUCUGGUAUGGAAAGACGUAAAAGGAAUGUUCCUUAUAGAUGACGGCAUACCCUCUGACGAGAGUAGUGAUGCAAAUAUCUGUUAGGAGUCACAUUUAGUUAAAUAUUUUCGUAACUAUAGAAUAUUUUAUAGGAUCACUAUGCUUGGUACGACCAUGGUCAUAGAUCGUACCAUGGUUUGGCAAUCCGGAAAUGUCUCUGAGUAAAUUGUCAUUAUCUCUAUCUAAUCUGGUCAUUCUAAAUGGAUAGUCGAAAAUUUAUAUCUGCCUUCAAAGAUAUAAGCCGUAACGACUUUACGAAGCAUGACACAAAAAUCUGAGUAUUUCAUUAUUUAUUUGAUUUUCUCUAUUGUUAGGUAUACUGUGUUUUAUUUUAAUUGUUGACUAUAACGUGAUUUUUUUUAAUAAGUAAAUUAUUUUCAUAAGGUAAGAUAGAUCUACGACGUACCUAAAUGGUAAGUAUUUAUGUUAGAAUUAUUCACCUUUUAAAACCUUAUGAUGUUAACUAAAUACUAUUUUUCUUACUGAGCAUAUGAAACUUACUUUUUCUAUGCUCCCAGAUGAGGAAGAUGAUGAGGAACCAUCAGCUGAUAUACCCAUUGAACUUUAUGAGGAUCCCAUAGAUCUGCAUACUUUGAGUGCAUGAUCGUCCUCGCACUCUGAUGAGUCCAAUAGUAUAAUGAUAGAAGUGGCUCUCUUUUGUAUUUUGACAUUGUAUUUUCCGGUCACUUCUGGCCUCACUUAUAUAUAUAUAUAAUUGAAACUCAUAUAUUUAUAAGGAAUUUGUAUUAAUUUGCUUUGUUACAUAUAAUUUUUAUCAUGCACUCGUAAUUUUUUUUCUGUAUCUGACACCUCAAUGCCUUAAUUAGCGUCUGAGAUGUCACACCAUCCAAGAACAUAACCACUGCAAUCACAUCUAUAUCAUACCGCAUAGCAAGUACAAUGCACUAUAAGUGUAAUUACAUCUAUACCGGACUACAUAGCAAGUACAAUGCACAUUACCAUAAAAUAUCUUUUUCGUCCACGUGAUAGGUUUCAUCAUCAACCAUAUCGACCGAAUCUCGGCCACACACACGCAUUAAUUUGCUUUCACAUUUUGAUUUGAAUUUUCCCUUUAAUUUUAAAUUUUCGCUCAAUAGAUUAUAUAUUUAUUUCAUACCUUUUUUUUUAGUUAAUUAAUUUCUUUCCUUACGUAUUUUUCUCUAACUUUAACCUUCACAACGAACUUAACAUUUAAUAUCAUUCCAUUAAUAUUUUAUUCGUAUAGUUUCAUUAAUAAUUUUUGUUUAACCCUAUUUGUCUAUUUAGUUAAUUUUUUGUUGUACAUUUAUGACAAGGUUUAAUACUAACCCCACUCACAACCCUAUCGUACAUGGUAUUCUUCGAUAUAUUUAUAAAUAGGCUCUAUAAUAUACUUCUAAUUUAAUAUUUUUAUUAAUUUUUGUUGGUGAUAUUAAUUUCAAAUCCACUUCUGGUUUUAAUUUUUGGACCAAUAUCCUUAGUCAACCUAUUAGACAUUUUAUUUUGACCCAUUAUAUCAUUUUGGAUAAUUAAUUCACUCUUAUCAUAUGUUAUCAUUAAUACUAUUAUUGUUAUUAUAAUUAUUAUUACUAUAACUUAUUUAUUUAUUCUUUUCUUCCUUUUUGGGUCUCUAUUCAGUGGCCCACUUUCCUAUUGCCCAUUAAGAUAAUAGUUUUGAUUUUAGAAAAAGACUUGGCUCUACCCUUGAAAUUUCUAGUUCUGACUCCUUUAGAAAUUAUAUUUUCGGGCUUGACUCGUUUAAGCCAUUGGUUAGGAACCAUCUAUCUUUUAUAGGCUCAACCCAUUAAUAUGUUUUAGGUUCAGCCCAUUCAGAAAUCAAUUCCCCAUAACCCUAAAGUUUCCUACAUCUUAUCUCUCCACCCAUGAACACAGAAGGGUUUACAAAUUAUAUUUGUAACACUUCAUUUAUAAUCACAUGUAUAGAUUCCUAAUAGAUGAAAAUGGGUGUAUUUGGUCGUUUCUAAUCUACCAUUUUAAAGAUAUAUUUUAGAUAAACUAAUUUAGGAAUUGCUUCAGAUGUAUUAAAUUACAAUUAUGGGUUAAGAAACUAAAUCAAUCUUAGUCUUCUUAGAUUAAUGAUGGUGUGAGUUUGAUUUGCGAUGAUGAUUAUUGCUUUUCCCUAAGCUACACAUACACAAAAAAAAAAAAACCCACUUUGUCAUGAAAACCCAAAUCGACGAUGAAGUUCAUCCCAUUUUUGGGUCUAUGAAAAUGAAGGAAACACUUACCAAGAGACUCACCACUCAUUGCAUAAAUGUCUAAAAUCCCGAAUUAACUUCUAGCCUUAAGCCUUCUGCUGCACCUUCACCUUCUUCAACCUUUCGAAACACUUUCCCUUCUCUCUUCUGUCGCUUCGUUCGGGUUUAGGAUUAAG